rnacentral:rRNA from 1 species
AUUGAACGCUAGCGGGAUGCCUUACACAUGCCAGUCGAACGGAGUGGCGAACGGGUGAGUAAUGUAUCGGAACGUGCCCAGUAGCGGGGGAUCACUACGCGCAAGCGUAGCUAAUACCGCAUACUAUUGGAGCGGCCGACAUCGGGGUAGCUAGUUGGGGGGGGAACGGCUCACCAAGGCGACGAUCCGUAGCUGGUUUGAGAGGACGACCAGCCACACGGGGACUGAGACACGGCCCAUACUCCUACGUGAGGCAGCAGUGGGGAAUUUUUGACAACGGGGGAAACCCUGAUCCAGCCAUCCCGCGUGUGCGAGGAAGGCCUUCGGGUUGUAAAGCACUUUUGGCAGGAAAGCGGUACCUGCAGAAUAAGCACCGGCUAACUACGUGCCAGCCGCCGCGGUAAUUC